UACGUGGGGUGCGAGCGUUAAUCGGAAUUACUGGGCGUAAAGCGUGCGCAGGCGGUUUUGUAAGCCAGAUGUGAAAUCCCCGGGCUCAACCUGGGAAUGGCAUUUGGGACUGCAAGGCUGGAGUGUGGCAGAGGAGACUGGAAUUCCUGGUGUAGCAGUGAAAUGCGUAGAUAUCAGGAGGAAUACCGAUGGCGAAGGCAGGUCUCUGGGCUGACACUGACGCUCAUGCACGAAAGCGUGGGGAGCAAACAGG
rnacentral:rRNA from 1 species